rnacentral:rRNA from 1 species
CCUACGGGUGGCAGCAGUGAGGAAUAUUGGACAAUGGGCGAGAGCCUGAACCAGCCAAGUCGCGUGAAGGAUGACGGCCCUACGGGUUGUAAACUUCUUUUGUCAGGGAGCAAUUGAGUCCACGUGUGGUCUUAGCGAGAGUACCUGAAGAAAAAGCAUCGGCUAACUCCGUGCCAGCAGCCGCGGUAAUACGGAGGAUGCGAGCUUUAUCCGGAGUUAUUGGGUUUAAAGGGUGCGUAGGCGGAAUAUCAAGUCAGCGGUAAAAAUUCGGGGCUCAACCCCGUCGUGCAGUUGAAACUGAUGUUCUUGAGUGGACGAGAGGUGUGCGGAAUGCGUGGUGUAGCGGUGAAAUGCAUAGAUAUCACGCAGAACUCCGAUUGCGAAGGCAGCAUACCGGCGCCCAACUGACGCUGAAGCACGAAAGCGUGGGUAUCGAACAGGAUUAGAUACCCGUGUAGUC